ensembl:lncRNA
CUCACAAAUGCUGGGACCUACAGGCCUGCGCCACCACGGCUGGCCAACCUCUGAAAUUUAGUAAGGGCUGAAGUUACAAGAAGAAAAAGAAUGGGUUACAGAAUCAGAAAAGGGAUUGGUCUCUGAGUGGAUGCCAGGAGACUCUGGGUAGCUCCCUGUGCUCGCGGCAUGGCUUGGAGGCCUCUGCCCGCUCUGUACACGUGGUUCUUACAUACCUGCCCCAGUGGCAGCCCACUGGAUCCAAUGUUCGGUCCCACGAGGGGCACAGACUCAAAUCGGGUUGAAGAUACUUUUGGAUAUUUUGAGCUUGGGGGUGUGUGGGGCUUUUCUCUUCAAGAUGGUGCAAAUGGUGUGAUAAAAAGCCUGGGUGUUACUGAUUGCCCUAAUUCCUGCUAGGUGGAAAAAGCCAUUUUUGCAAGGAGCCACAAGAGGACCUUCUGUGAACAGCACAAAUGAACAAAUCUGGCUUUGUAUGACAGCAAGUUGACAAAACAGCAGCAAAGCUGAGUUCAUGUUCUGGCUCUGUCUUGGACCAGAGAAGGUGCUGUGACCACCUGUCAUGCCGGGCACUGGCAGCAGCCUUGGUUCCUGUUCACCCCAUGGUUGGGAGGGGAAGCAACCCGUAGCUUACCUGUGCUGCACUGCUAAGUGGGGAUGGUACCGGGGAUCUAACACAGGUCCUUGUGCUUGCGCAGCAGGCGGUGAAACCACUUAGCUAAAUCCC